GAUGAACGCUGGCGGCGUGCCUAAUACAUGCAAGUCGAGCGAACGGACGAGAAGCUUGCUUCUCUGAUGUUAGCGGCGGACGGGAGAGUAACACGUGGAUAACCUACCUAUAAGACUGGGAUAACUUCGGGAAACCGGAGCUAAUACCGGAUGAUAUUUUGAACCGCAUGGUUCAAAAGUGAAAGACGGUCUUGCUGUCACUUAUAGAUGGAUCCGCGCUGCAUUAGCUAGUUGUGAAGGUAACGGGUUACCAAGGCAACGAUGCAUAGCCGAGCUGAGAGGGGGAUCGGCCGCCCGGGAACUGAGACACGGACCAGACUCCUACGGGAGGCAGCAGUAGGGAAUCUUCCGCAAUGGGCGAAAGCCUGACGGAGCAACGCCGCGCGAGUGAUGAAGGUCUUCGGUUCGUAAUACUCUGUUAUUAGGGAAGAACAUCUGUGUAAGUAACUGUGCAGAUAGUGACGGUACCUAAUCAGAAAGCCACGGCUAACUACGUG
rnacentral:rRNA from 1 species